rnacentral:rRNA from 1 species
GAUGAACGCUGGCGGCGUGCCUAAUACAUGCAAGUCGAACGAACAGAGGAGAACCUUUCCUCUCGGAUGUUAGCGGCGGACGUGUGAGUAACGCAUGGAUACCCUCCCUAUGAGAGUGGGAUCACUUCGGGAAACCAUAGCUCAUACCGUAUAAUAUUUUGAACCGCGUGGUUCAAUAGUGAGAGACGAUUUUGCUGUCACUUAUAGAUGGAGCCGCGCUGCAUUAGCUAGUUGGUAAGGUAACGGCUUACCAAGGCGACGAUGCGUAGCCGGCCUGAGAGGGUGAUCGGCCACACUGGAACUGAGACACGGUCCAGACUCCUACGGGAGGCAGCAGUAGGGAAUCUUCGGCAAUGGGCGAAAGCCUGACGGAGCAACGCCGCGUGAGUGAUGAAGGUCUUCGGAUCGUAAACCUCUGUUAUUAGGGAAGAACAGAUGUGUAAUUAACUGUGCACAUCUUGACGGUACCUAAUCAGAAAGCCACGGCUAACUACGUG